CGUUGUCCGGAAUUAUUGGGCGUAAAGAGCGUGUAGGCGGUUCGGUAAGUCUGCUGUGAAAUCCUGGGGCUCAACCCUGGGCGUGCAGCGGAUACUGCCGGGCUAGAGGGUGGUAGAGGCGAGUGGAAUUCCGAGUGUAGCGGUGAAAUGCGCAGAUAUUCGGAGGAACACCAGUAGCGAAGGCGGCUCGCUGGGCCACACCUGACGCUGAGACGCGAAAGCGUGGGGAGCGAACAGGAUUAGAUACCCUGGUAGUCCACGCCGUAAACGAUGGAUACUGGGUGUGGGCGGAGUCGAAUCUGUCUGUGCCGAAGUUAACGCGUUAAGUAUCCCGCCUGGGGAGUACGGCCGCAAGGCUAAAACUCAAAAGAAUUGACGGGGGCCCGCACAAGCAGCGGAGCAUGUUCUUUAAUUCGAUGCAACGCGAAGAACCUUACCUGGACUUGACAUGGGGCUGCAAGCGCACGGAAACGUGUGACCUUCGAGGGUGCCUCACAGAUGCUGCAUGGCUGUCGUCAGCUCGUG
rnacentral:rRNA from 1 species